GUGAGUGGGCGCUGCAGCCCGGCUGCCAGGUUCCCUCGCCUCGCCUGUGCGGCUGCCGGGAGUCCUCGCUGCCGCAGGGCUCGGCCUGGAUCCCGGGAGGCAGCUUCAGAACUGAGUUUGGCGGGUCGAGUGCGAAGUGUCCCAGGGACGGGGGAGUGGCGGCCCCUUGCGGCCCGAGGCUCCAAGGUGCCCUGGUGUCCGAGCGGCGGAGCCGAGUGUAGAGCAGAAUGCACUUAGGUGGAUUCGGGAUGGUGGGCGUCCCGAGAGGCUGGGAGAGGAGACGCCGGCAGGUGCUGAUGUCGCAGAAGCUGCCUUGGACGAGACCUACGUCAGGACACGGAUCCUGGGCUCCCCAGGACCAGCCGACCUGGGGCAGAGCCUGCAGCCGGGCCGCGAUAGAGGAAGAGUGUGGGCGAAGUCCAGGGCGGGCACCUCUUGUCCUCCUCAGGACCUGGGACUGGUUUUGCAUUUAGGGCUGUGGUCACACAGUGGCAGAUGAAGUCCCUGGGAAAUGGGCAGGGACCCAGGUCCAGGGUGUCUGCCAGCGGGCUGGGCACCCAGUGUGCCUCAGGAGGAGAAAGGAAGCUUGGGACUGCUGAGGGGACAGCAAAGGCAAAGGCAAAGACAGAGAAGGCCCUGGAGACUCAGAAGUCUGUGAGCGGUUCUAGGUGACUUUUUUGGUUUGUUUUUGAGAUAGGAUCUCACUAUGUAGCUCAGGCUGGCCUCCAACUCAUAGCAAUUCUCCUGUCACGGCCGCCCAAGUGCCAUGAUUGUAGGCAUGCACCACCAUCCCCAGCAUCUACCUAGGGGUGAAUUUGAAGCUAGAAAUAGGAGCAAGUGAGUAGUGUUCAGUGCGGAGGUGCAGGCAGAAUGGGAGCCUAGGUGCUCAUGCCCGGUAAUUUUGGAACACUGUAUGCAGAGCAGCAUGUAGGGAGCCCAGGAAGAUGCCUGUGGUGGUAACUGCUGAGGUUGUGCUGGGGAUUGUGGAGCUGUGAAUAUGAAGAGUACAAGGAGUUAUGUUCCCACAAGGUGGGAGGGCAGACAAAAGGGCACUGGAGCCAUGUACGUGGUGCCAAGAAGAAAGGUUAUAUAGGUUUGGUUGGACCUGAGAUAUGGUAAUUAGGCAGACACAGGGCAAAAGCAAUUGGCUGGCAGAAGGGUGGGGACCAUCUGGUCACCUGUGGAUUGUUACUGUGGGCUGGACACAGUUUCCAGUAGUAAACCAAGAAGAGAAGCAUCAAUGCCAACCAGAGCUGGUAUCCUCCCUGAGGUAGAGGCUUAGGGAAAAGGUGGUAUCAGGAUGUAUGGAAGAGGGCCUGGUGACACCUGAGGAUGUGGCUGUGCAUUUCUCCCAGGAGGAGUGGAGGCUCCUUAAGUGGCUCAGAGGCACCUGUACCAUGAUGUGAUGCUGGAGAACUUUGUUUUUUUGGUACCUGGGAUCAAACUCAGGACCUUGCACUUGCAAGGCAGGUGCAGGUGGUGGAACCACUGAGCUAAAUGCCUGGUGAUGCCCGAGAACUUUGAGCUCAUUAUCUCACUGGGGAUCAAACUCAGGACUUGUGCUUGAGAGGCAGGCAGCAGCACCACUGAGCUAAAUCCUCGGCCCUGCUUUCACACCCUUUUACCAGACAGUGCUGUAACAUUCACAUGAGGAGCUCAGCAAGACUUAGCAUCGAGACUGCAGUUUCAGGUGAUGUAAAUCAGUCAUCUGCACAAGUUGAAUUGUGUGUUUGAUUUUUAGCAACAUCAGCUCUGUGGCUAUAAAAAAAUAAGAUUUUCUGAGCCGGGGAUGUAGCUCAGUGGUGCCCUGCCUGCCUUGCAAGCACAAGGUCCUGAGUUGGAUCUCUGGUACAAGAAAAAAAAAAAAAAGCUUUUCUUCUAGGGUUUCCAUGAAGGUUGUGUGUUUCUCAGACUGUGGUUUGAAAUGAAGGUUCAGGAAGCUGAGAACAUUGCGUUUUUUUCUGUGAGGCUGAAGCAGACUCGACUGAGCAUCACAUGCUCCUCACAGCCCUCUUGCCCCCGUAAGAGCCAAGUGCAGUGGCCGCCUGGCUCCCAAGACGCUUGCUUCAGUUAGCAUUUUCUCAGUCUCUUGUGAGGACAGCCUGUUUAACCAGCACUACUGUGUGCACAGUACUGUCACCCUGCUUCCCACCAGCAAGGACUCGGCAUUGUGCUCAGGCCCAGAGGCUCAAGCCAGUCCCCAAAUCCCACUUUUACAGCCCAUCACUGGCAGUACCAGUUCUGUAUUAAUGUGGCUCCAGUCUGCAGAGAAAAGCACACAGUGACUUGAGCAGGGAAAGUCUAACAUGAAGAAUUAUUAACUAAACUAUGGGAUUGGAGCAAUGGGCACAGGGCCUGGUGCUCGAGGGUUAGCCCUGAUGGCAGGAGCCUGCCCACAAGCACAGGGAAGCACCAAGCAAAGCCUUCUCCACUCCCACUUUUCUUCCAGAGCAUACUACUGACAAAGCUUGGCUUCAUCCACAUUGGCCAAGAAUGUCUGCAGAGCCCAGGUCUGUGUGCACCGAGCAAAACGGUGAAUUAGGAGCUGAGACAGUGGGGCAGUAACCAGCACCAUUCAUCCAGCAAGCUCCAUGCAGGACUGGUACCCGCUGUCACGUGUCCUCGGGUUGUCUGUGUGGAGCAGGAGAUGGUGAGGACCCUCCUGAGCAGCAGAAGAGCUGCCACCCAUCAGAAUGGCCUUUUGUGUCCAGCGAGUGUGGUGAACGCUUCCUGGCCAGCAGGGACCUCUCCCAGCAGCAGGCUGCCGAUGGCAAGGGAAAACUGAGGACCAGCACCAGGACGCUGCCCCUCAUGGCUCUGGCCUCAGGCAGCACCCGGCAGGCCACACUGGCAAGUGUGGGAACUCCUUCCUGAAUGAACAGCCCUGCUCAUGAAGGCCAGCCGAGGUCCCACAGCAGGUGGAAAUGCCCUCAAGGAAACAUCAGCUCUUCCUACUCAGAAAAAGAUUUAUGAUGGGGAAGCAUCACACGCAGACGGGGAGGGUGGGGAGGCCUUCACUUUUUUGUCUAACCUGAGCCUGAGCGUGCAUCAGAAGGUUCACACAGAAUUGAAACGUUCUGCCACAAAUCCACACUCAUCCAGUCCUAGAGAGUCCACAUGGGGAGAGGCCUUGUGAGUGCAGCAAGUGUGGCAAAACCUUUAGCCUUGCAUCUACCCUCAUUCUGCACUGGAAAGUUCAUACUGGGGAAAAGCCUUACAGGUGCACGGAGCAUAAGAAAUUCUUUAGCCAGAACUCCAGCCUCCUUGGUACCAGAGAGCCCACACAGGAGCAGGGCCUUACAAGUGCAGUGAGUGGAAAAACCCACAGCAGGAUCUCCUGUUUCCAGAAGGUUCACGUGAGAGAAAGGCAACAGCAGUGCCACCAUACAGAAAGCCUUCAUCAAAAUCUCCACGCGUGUCACAGCAGAGAUUUCUUAACAUAGGAAUGCUGAUACGGGGCUGGGGAUUUGCCUCAAUGGCUCCUACACCUGCCUCAAGCGCAAGGUCCUGAGUUUGAUCCCUGGUUCCAAAAAAAAGAGGCUGAUAUGAAAUUGGGCAUCAUGGCACGUGCCUAUAAUCCCAGCAUUCAGGAGGCUGAGGCAGGGGGGACGACUGUGAGUUCAAGCCCAGCCUGAACUAUGCAGCGAGACCCUAUCUGAAAAAAAUAGUAAGGGCCAGAUGUGGUGGUGCACUCGUGUAAUCUCAGCACUUGACAAACUGAGGCAGGAGGAUCGCUGGGAGUUCAAGGUUAGCCUAGGCUACAAAGUGAGUUCAAGGCCAGUCUGAACUACAUAGGGAGACCUUGACUCAAAAAACCAAUAAAUUUUUUAAAAGGCCAAUGUGGGCAGUACAUGUUUGAGAGCCUUAAGCUGCAUCUCUGAGAUGUCUGACACCAGCAGUUUCAUAUUGGAAAGGCCUGUAAGCAUGGAGUGAAUAUAGGAAAGCCUUUUUCACAUACUUUCAGCAUCCAGAAUUCACAGCCCAAAAAAGGACUUGUCAGAGCAGUGAAUGUGGAAAACUUUUCCACCAAGUUGCCAAGCUUGUUCUACACACAGGCUUUGUACUAUAGAAAGGUAAUCUCUGGGCCAGGGAUUUAGCUCAGUGGUUCUGUCACUUGCCUUGCAAGCACAAGGACCUGAGUUCGAUCCCUGGUACAAAAAAAAAAAAGAAAGAAAGAAAGAAAAAGUAAUCACUGUGGGAAACCCUUUUGUUGAAGUUCUAACCUUACUCCCUACCACAAAUUUACCUUGGAGAAAGGCCUUUCUAUCCAGAUCUUCAGUAAAAAGAUGAAGACUGUUCAGCCUGUAGCACGUUGCCUAUUGCUAUAUAACAAACACCCACUAUCAUCAC
ensembl:lncRNA